rnacentral:rRNA from 1 species
CCUACGGGAGGCUGCAGUAGGGAAUAUUGCUCAAUGGGGGAAACCCUGAAGCAGCAACGCCGCGUGGAGGAUGAAGGUUUUCGGAUUGUAAACUCCUUUUGUUAGAGAAGAUAAUGACGGUAUCUAACGAAUAAGCACCGGCUAACUCCGUGCCAGCAGCCGCGGUAAUACGGAGGGUGCAAGCGUUACUCGGAAUCACUGGGCGGAAAGAGCGCGUAGGCGGGAUAGCAAGUCAGAUGUGAAAUCCUAUGGCUUAACCAUAGAACUGCAUUUGAAACUGUUAUUCUAGAGUAUGGGAGAGGUAGGUGGAAUGCUUGGUGUAGGGGUAAAAUCCGUAGAGAUCAAGAGGAAUACUCAUUGCGAAGGCGACCUGCUAGAACAUAACUGACGCUGAUGCGCGAAAGCGUGGGGAGCAAACAGGAUUAGAUACCCUUGUAGUC